CUUGGUUCUCGCAUCGAUGAAGAACGCAGCGAAAUGCGAUAAGUAGUGUGAAUUGCAGAAUUCAGUGAAUCAUCGAAUCUUUGAACGCACAUUGCGCCUCCUGGUAUUCCGGGAGGCAUGCCUGUUCGAGCGUCAUUAAAACCCACUCAGAUUCCCU
rnacentral:rRNA from 1 species